AGCCUACUCAGUUAGAAGAUGACAAGGAUGAAGACCUUUAUGAUGAUCCACUUCUACUCAAUGAAUAGCUUUCUUGGCACACUGCCUCAGGAACAGGAUUAUGCUACAGAACAAAAAGAGCAAAUUCUUGGCUUUUGAAUUCCAAAAUCUAAAAUCUUGGCAAAAACAAUAUGUUUAGAAGGAAAAUUGAUCUGGAAAUGGUCGGCAUCAGUUUUUCCUACCCCUAAGACAAAAUAAACCUAGGGGAAAAAACCUGUUGGGGAUAAAAAGUAGCAAAAGUGGAAGAGUUAGAACCUUGAACUGGUCAUGGAGCAGACACCUGUGGUCCGUGCCCUCCGCUCUGACCCCAAAAGUUGCUGGUGCAGAGGAGAGACAAUAGACGCUCCAAAGGAAAUAAAGGAAAUGAAAGGGAAUAUGGCCAGCACCCACUCCUACCCUAUACCCCCUACUGCUGCCUCCAGGCCCAGGUAAAGCUCCACAUACUCCACAUAUCUCAGACUCUUAGGAUCUUUCUUCAACAUGCUAUGAAGACAGCAGAGAAGCACAUAUGGCUGGGAAAGUGUAUCUAGAUGGAGAGGACCCAAAACAGCCUGAAAGUUCCCCAACAUGUCCCUGGAGUUCAGGACCAGACCAAAUAUUUUCCAAGUGCUCAAGAGAAAAAGUCAUGAGAGACCCAGAUGGACCUCAGGCACUGCAGGAUGAUGCCCAAUUCAGCCACUACCUGUGUGACUGAUGAGAAACCCUAAGGACUGAUGUCUGUCCCCCAGCUCUCUCUCUGUCAGAUGCUAAUGCACCCUGAAAGUGUCCUAGAUCUAUACAAACACUCCAUGUUCACUAUCCCACAUAAACAACUAUCCAUCCCAGAAGAGUUGCCACCAGGCUCUUCAUAAACCCAGCCUCACCCACGCAUCCAUGUUUAACCAGCUUCCUUCAGAAAUAUUCUCGCAGAGUUCCACUAAAUCUUCUAUGCUAUAGGCACAACUGCUUUCUUUUUUCCAUUCUUAGGAAGUAAAGAAAAGGCCAGGACAACAUAGUCUGUGUAACAAUCUGGUGCAUCAGAAGAACGGGAAGAAUAAAGUCCCCAAUGACCCUAGGUUUCUGAUCCAUACAAGAUCUUCUUUCUGAUCUCCAGAACCCGAGCCAUGAAGUGGGAAAAAGUCCUCUAGGUGGCCUGUUUCCCAACCUGGUGGUACUUAGUGCCCUUUCCUUCUUGCAAUGUCCUCUCACUGUCUUCCCAAAACAACCCGAAACUCACUCCCAUUAAAGUGACGGGACUCAAUAGUUUGAGGUUUAACUCCAGCUCCUUCUCUGUUCACGCAGCUAUCCAGUUGUUAAAUCUACCUGCCGGCUCUCUCCUCUCCUUUCUAUUACCUGGAAGUGCUGCUUUCUGAAUAUUCCUUUUCCUCAAUCCAGGAACAUGACAGAUUUGCACUUCCCCUCUUUCUUGAGGUAGAUCAUGGCCAGGCACGUGGCUUCCUUUGGCUAGUGAAACGUGGACAGGAGUAACAUGGGCUGCUUCCUAAUUGCAGUAAGCAACACUGCAGCUGGAACUGCCUCCUGCAGCUGGAACUGACAGCAUUUCAGAUGGUGGAGGCCCUGUCACUCUGAUUUCCAGAGUAAAGGGCAUGCAAUGGGUCGUUUCAGUCAAUGGGCAUGUAAAGUGAGCAAGCAAUAAACACUUGUUAAAUGAACUCGCUGGCUGUUGCUGCAUAAUAAUCCAGCCCACCCUGACUAAUAUGCCCAGGCUAUUAUUGGGGUUCAGGCUCUCAUUCCUCAUCAAAGCUUUUAACACAUGCCACUCAAAGUGUAGUUCAUACACAGGUAUCAAUCCACAAACUAUUGCUGCUCUGCAAUGAUGUAAGUAUAGAAAUUGAGAAUAAACAUUUAGAAAUUCUUGUAACAGUUAAGCUGAUUAAUUUGACCUAUUGAAUCUAAUAAUAACAUAUUUGGAAUUGUCUUUCCACCAGAUCUUAGCACGAUGUCUUACCCAUGAAGGUGCUAACAAAAUGUUUGUCAAAUUAAAUUGGAUUAUUGAUUCAUGAUUAAGAAACAGAAUUAUGUUAGGAUUCCAAGCACUGGCAGGCAGAUCUGAGGAAUACUUGGGGUGCAAGAUCAUUGAGGUGCAAUGGUCUUCUUCAUUGAGGUGCAAUGAUCAUUUAUAAGUUUCUGGAUUUUCUGUUUGUACCAGCACAAAAUUUAGUGUCAACAAGCAGAGAAACUUUCUGAGUUCUUCUUUAUUUACUAUUAAAUAUUGUUUUAGGUUUGCCAACAUAAAAGCAUGAGCAUGAAUGUGUUU
ensembl:lncRNA novel transcript, antisense to TSEN15